GUGAACCAAGCAGAAUUUCGUCAGCCUCGAGAACGGACAUAUUCCCAAACGCAGUACAUCCAACAUCUAUGGAGCGUGACCUCAGUAGGGACUUGCAACGGCUUCGUUUAGACGCCGCCGGCACCGAUGCGCAGGCAGAUGGAGGAAACAUCGCCCACACGCAGCCGACGCCCCAAGCCCUUGGUCCGGGUGACGGCACUAGUCCAGAGGCUGAGUUGUGCGCUUCCUCGGGCUGCCCACACCGGCCACCGCCUCGUCCCUGCCGUGAUUGCCACAUGCAACGAUGGCUCCGGGUGCACGCUCAACGUUACCGACACACUUCGUUCCCGGAAUGGUGUCUUGACGGUAUCUUGGUGGCGUUAGAACAUAAAAAUGAGGCGUGCAGGCUGCGGACCCACGCGGUUUCCAUGGGAGCGUCGACGGGGGCUCGCCGCAACGUCUUGGAACGGCAGCCGCCGCAGUACUAGUGCUAACAUGGUUCCAAGAGGACUUCACCCAGAAGAAUAGCCAAGGAGUCAGCCUGAAAUGGAACUACCACAACGUUGGUGUGCUCAAGCAAGCGGCACAUAUUGCAGAAGAUGCACUGGAUGCAUUGUAUUGUUUUGCAGUUUUACGAAGACAUCCACAAUUGCAACUAGGCUUUGUCGAAAAUUGCCAUGGCUUUUCUUAAUGAACAGCUGCAACGUCUUCAUUUCUUGAUACUGUUACAUUGUACAGUUCCACAGUCCACUGCCAUAUAUGCUAUGUCCAUACAGCUUAAUGUGAAUGUGGUCCAAAAAGAAGGGACUUGCACUUCAGUCUAUGAAAACAAAAAACUAUGACCUGCAAACUGAAGAAAUUUUUAAAAACGUUUGCUCAAUUUCAUUCUGUUCAGGAAGCAUUGCUCCAUAUAUAUUGUUGCUCACAUGACAGGCAGUAGGCUUUUGUUUGUUGAACAGAUCUUUCAGCUUGAGGAGCAGUUGUGGACCAUCUCCCGCUACCGAGGAUCGCUUGGGCGGCUGGGCAAUACUCUUAAAAGAAAACAUGUUAUACUCAAAGAAUAACUGCUGGACUGUUGGAUGUCCUCCAGCAACAUGUCUGACAAUGCCAAAAAAUCUCUGAAACAAAGAAAAUGCUUCGCUAUUUACCUCACAAGCAGGAAAAUGCACUUGUUUACCUCUAAUGGGUCCUUUCCAAACUUUCCCACCAGUAAAACACGAAAGCCUGCUGCAAGAAAGUUCUCGACAAGGGAUAUUGUACUGAGCAGGGUUAUUCUUAGAGCCUCAGAUGUGGGCUUGCUCAAAAAGUGGAUCUGCCUCUGCUUUGGCAGAAUUUCUAUGCAGUUGCAGCAGCUGUCAAGCCAUGCAGUGCUCUUUCAGUGUAUGUAAAGUAAUAAAAAAAUCAGAGGUAUGCGUGAGGCCAAAAGCUUAAUUCUUACAUCAGCAUGCUCAGCUUCGUUGUACUGCACAUGAUGGUCCUCCGAGAGUUGAAGCAGUCAAAUAAUCUUUAUUCUUGUGGUGAAUUCACAUGUUGCUGCAGACUCAUGGAGCUUUUUGCAUGCUUAAUGUUCACUGUAGAAAUCCGUGGCUGUAGCUGUGAACUGGAAAUAAAUUUUUCUCGUCUCA